rnacentral:rRNA from 1 species
GCGAGUAGAGUGGCGCACGGCGUUAACGCGUAGGUAAUCUACCCUUAUAUUUGGGAUAACAUUGGGAAACUGGUGCUAAUACCGGAUACCCUUCAUAUCUGUUGGGAGAUGGAGGAAAGGUGGACACUUCAUGAAAGCUACCGUAUAGGGAUGAGCCUGCGUACCAUUAGCUAGUAGGUGGGGUAACGGCCCACCUAGGCAACGAUGGUUAGCGGGUCUGAGAGGAUGAUCCGCCACACUGGAACUGGAACACGGACCAGACUCCUACGGGAGGCAGCAGUGAGGAAUAUUGCGCAAUGGGGGCAACCCUGACGCAGCGACGCCGCGUGAGUGAGGAAGGUCUUCGGAUCGUAAAGCUCUGUCAGAAGGGAAGAAAUGUUAUACGGUUAAUACCCGUAUAAUUUGACGGUACCUUCAGAGGAAGCACCGGCUAACUCCGUGCCAGCAGCCGCGGUAAUACGGAGGGUGCGAGCGUUGUUCGGAAUUACUGGGCGUAAAGGGCGCGUAGGCGGCCGGAUAUGUCAGAUGUGAAAGUCCACGGCUCAACCGUGGAAGUGCAUUUGAAACUGUCCGGCUUGAGUAUCGGAGGGGAGUGUGGAAUUCCCGGUGUAGAGGUGAAAUUCGUAGAGA